GCGUGCUUUAACAUGCAGUCUACGAGAAUAAGGCAGCAAUAUCUUUAGUAAAGUGGCGCACGGGUGAGUAACACGUAAGCAAUCUACCUUUGGGUCUGGAAUAACUUCGAGAAAUCGAGGCUAAUACCGGAUAAUGCAGCGGCACCGCAUGGUGAUGUUGUUAAAGUUUAAGUAAUGCCUAAAGAUGAGCUUGCGUCUGAUUAGCUAGUUGGUAGGGUAAAAGCCUACCAAGGCAACGAUCAGUAGCUGGUCUGAGAGGAUGAUCAGCCACACUGGAACUGAGACACGGUCCAGACUCCUACGGGAGGCAGCAGUGAGGAAUAUUGGGCAAUGCCCGUAAGGGUGACCCAGCAACGCCGCGUGGAGGAUGAAGGCCGUAAGGUUGUAAACUCCUGUUAGAGGAGAAGAAUAGUACCGGUUGGACCGGUAUAUGACUGUACCCUCAGAGAAAGCCCCGGCUAACUACGUGCCACCAGCCGCGGUAAUACGUAGGGGGCAAGCGUUGUCCGGAUUUACUGGGUGUUAAGGGCGCGCAGGCGGGAUAAAAAGUCAGUGGUGAAAUCCUACAGCUUAACUGUAGAACUGCCUUUGAUACUUUUAUUCUUGAGUUCCGGAGAGAGAGACUGAAUUCCCGGUGCAGUGUUGAAAUACUUAUAUAUCUG
rnacentral:rRNA from 1 species